UACAGAGGGGGCAAGCGUUAUUCGGAAUUAUUGGGCGUAAAGGGCGCGUAGGCGGCCUGGCAAGUGGAAGGUGAAAUCCCUCGGCUCAACCGAGGAACUGCGCCCAAAACUGCCGUGCUCGAGGGAGACAGAGGUGAGCGGAACUUAGGGUGGAGCGGUGAAAUGCGUUGAUAUCCUAAGGAACACCGGUGGCGAAAGCGGCUCACUGGGUCUCUUCUGACGCUGAGGCACGAAAGCUAGGGUAGCGAACGGG
rnacentral:rRNA from 1 species